UGAAUAUUAGAAACUUUGGGAAUUUUACUCAAGUAAUAUGCUAAAGGUGACUUUAACUUCUACCAGUCAUUUUCUGGUAAGAUACUUGUGCUUUUACCCAAGUAUUGCUUUCACAUACUUCAUACUUCUGUACUAAAGUGAUGCUUUCGAGUACUUUGUACAAUACUGUACUUAAGUGAUUCAACAUAAUGUUACUGUAAUUAAAUUCUGUACACAAUUACCUAAAUAAGUUA